GUGAAUCAUCGAAUUUUUGAACGCAAAUUGCGCCGUUUGCGGAAGGCAUGACUGUUUGAGGGCACCAUUUAACAACUAUUGUGCAGCGUUUUUUGUUGCACACGUUGAUGAGCUUUCCAAGAAUUUUAAAUUUUUGGUGGCGCAUAAUUAACAGCUUUAAAGGUUUUUGCAUUUCGGGUGUAGUCAAAUCUUUUCUUAGGUUGUGAAAAUACAUAAUCGCUCAUUGUGGGUGGCUAUUUCUUUGUAUCCCUGCCACAAUGCCACUCUUUCGCAUGAGAGAAUG
rnacentral:misc_RNA from 1 species